AUGAUCAUUAUACCAGGUAAACAAACAGUUCUGACUGCAGCUGUAGGAAUCAUAGUGGUUGUUCUGGUUCUCAUCCUCUGUCUCUCUGGACUCAUGUGGUUCAGGAGAUCCACAGGAGGAAGUGAUGCCACAGCAGACACACAGAGUGUCCGUCCUGACUGUAACAGUGACACGUACACAGCUCUGAACAUGAGGACCAUGUCCUCUGACUAUGACACUUUGGCAAGUGUCCAUGCUGACCCUACCAGGGACCCCAACAGUGACACAUACACAGCUCUGAACAUGAAGACCAGGUCACCAGAGUAUGACACCCUGGCAAAUGUGAGACUCUCCCAGUGACACAUCCCCUCAGAUAGAUGCUGAGCCCUCCGAUUAUGAGAACGUAAGAGAACUACCAUGGACCCUGGACUGAAGAGAACCACCACAGAACCUGGACUGAAGAGAACCACCACAGAACCUGAAUUGAAGAGAACCACCACAAAACCUGGACUAAAGACAGCCCCCGCAGAACCUGGACUGAAGAGAGCCCCUGCAAAACCUGGACUGAAGAGAGCCCCCGCAGAACCUGGACUGAAGAGAGCCCACCGCAGAACCUGGACUGAGGAGAGCCACUGCAGAGCCUGGACUAAAGAGAGCCACUGCAGAACAUAGAGUGAAGAGAGCCACCACAGAACCUGGACUAAAGAGAACCACCACAGAACCUAGACUGAAGAGAGCCACCACAGAACCUGGACUGUAGAUCUUCGGCACUAAACCAAAGAAAGGCCUUACAUCUCUAUUAUCCUGCUGUCAUAUCUAGAAGUGUGAGGACAGACACCGAGAGAUGAGAAGAAAGUACAGGGAGUGAACAUUUAAUAAAUAACAGACAUGAAACAAAACACGGACAGUGUCUGGACAAGGGAAACAAAACACGGACAGUGUCUGGACAAGGGAAACAAAACACGGACAGUGUCUGGACAAGGGAAACAAAACACGGACAGUGUCUGGACAAGGGAAACAAAACAUGGACAGUGUCUGGACAAGGGAAACAAAACAACAUCAAUGCUGACAGGGGCAUCAAACUGAGGAAUAGACAGAUUUAAGGGAGGCAAUCAAUAAAGUGAUGGAGUCCAGGUGAGUCCAAUGAAGCGCUGAUGCGCAUAACGAUGGUGACAGCUGUGUGUAAUGAUGGGCAGCCAGGGAGGGGGAACGGGAGCAGGCAUGACAAGUAGGUUUUCCAGACCAUUAGUAAUUAUGUAAAUGCUGGAGUUGAUUUCUCAGUCCUUGACAUUAUAAUGAUGUAGAUUGAUAAUUAAUGGGAUAGAUUAUGCUUCUGCUAUUUUCUAUGGGAUUUUGCCUUUUCCAGAUUUUUUAUAACAUAAAUAUCUGUCUUUUCUCGUGUACAUAUUUGUUUACUAUCUAUAGUUUAGACUUUUCGAUGUUUUUAUUACCUAAUGUUCUUUUCUCAGUGUCUAAUACGGAUAAUAUUGAUAACAGUUUUUGUAAUGUGUAUCUCUCUUGGACCAAGGUGCUCUUGAAAUGUACAAAUGAUCUACUUUGUAUUGUUGUCAGACAUUAUUGUGCAACAGCAUUCAUGAACGUGAAUAUUAAUAACAUAAUCACACUUGUUUUCUUGUGACAUUAUUCAUUAUUACCUCCUUUAGAUAAAGUGUGAUUCAGUGUAAUGUAUGCAUCAUGUUGUAAAUUAGCUCACAAUAAAUACAAAAUAUUGUGUGAAAUAUUACAGUGGUCUUUAUUGUCUGUUGAAAAUCUU
rnacentral:lncRNA from 1 species